CUUUCCUGUCCUGAAGUCCUCUCUUCCUCCUCACCUGGUCCCCGGCCCUGCCACUAACAGGAGUGGUUUCUACUUUGUUAAUCAGGAACCCGUGGACAGAUACUAUGCAUACAGUAGAAGGUUACAAGGACAGGAGCCCUCUUCUGAGUGUGGAAUGUUCAACCAAAGCAAAGAGCACUAGUAGCAGGUGGCCAAGGAGUAUAGAAAAGCAAAGUACUCACCAUUGGUGUGUUACAGAGAAAUUUCCCACAAAAGUCACUCACUCUGGGAGAAUCCAGCUACCAUGUUGUCAGGACCCUCAAGCAUCCUUCUGGAGAGGUUCGCUUGGAAAAGGACUCAGGUCUUCAGCCAGCACCCAAGAAAUUGAAACUUUCUGUCAACAGCCAUGUGAGUGAACCACCUUGGAAGUGGAUGACUGUAGUCCCAGAUACAUCUUGACUGCAACUUUGUGAGAGACUCUGAGCCAUACUCCCCAAACUAAGCUGCUCCUGAAUGUCUAACCUGCAGAAACUGU